GUCGCUGCGAGGCGGGGUGGGGAGCAACCGGAGGCGAAAAGGCAGCCCGUAGGGUAACGAACCCGAUUCGGCGGCAUGUGGCGGCGAGCCUGCUCAUUCGUGGCGAAGCCUGGAACAUACCGCACGCGCUGAAGUGACUGCGAAAGCGACGUGUGGGCGCAUAACGUGGUUGGGGGCGGGAUGUCUGGAAGGCAAAGCGC
rfam:Betaproteobacteria bacterium RIFCSPLOWO2_12_FTLL_62_58 rifcsplowo2_12_scaffold_8333, whole genome shotgun sequence.